rnacentral:rRNA from 1 species
UGGGGAAUAUUGCACAAUGGAGGGAACUCUGAUGCAGCGACGCCGCGUGAGUGAUGAAGGAAUUCGUUUCGUAAAACUCUGUUCUAUGGGAAGAAAAGGACUGUACCAUAGGAGAAAGCUCCGGCUAAAUACGUGCCAGCAGCCGCGGUAAUACGUAUGGAGCGAGCGUUGUCCGGAAUUAUUGGGCGUAAAGGGUGCGCAGGCGGCUUUACAAGUUGGAUGUGAAAUAUUGUGGCUCAACCACAAACGUGCAUCCAAAACUGCAAAGCUUGAGUUAAGGAGAGGUAAGUGGAAUUCCUUGUGUAGCGGUGGAAUGCGUAGAUAUCAGGAGGAAUACCGGUGGCGAAGGCGACUUACUGGACUUAAUCUGACGCUCAGGCACGAAAGCGUGGGGAGCAAACAGG